AGAGUUUGAUUAUGGCUCAGGAUGAACGCUAGCUACAGGCUUAACACAUGCAAGUCGAGGGGCAGCAUGACCUAGCAAUAGGUUGAUGGCGACCGGCGCACGGGUGAGUAACACGUAUCCAACCUACCGGUUAUUCCGGGAUAGCCUUUCGAAAGAAAGAUUAAUACCGGAUAGUAUAGCGAGAAGGCAUCUUCUUGUUAUUAAGAAUUUCGAUAACCGAUGGGAUGCGUUCCAUUAGUUUGUUGGCGGGGUAACGGCCCACCAAGACAUCGAUGGAUAGGGGUUCUGAGAGGAAGGUCCCCCACAUUGGAGCUGAGACACGGUCCAAACUCCUACGGGAGGCAGCAGUGAGGAAUAUUGGUCAAUGGACGAGAGUCUGAACCAGCCAAGUAGCGUGAAAAGGAUGACUGCCCUAUGGGUUGUAAACUUCUUUUAUAUGGGAAUAAAGUGAGCCACGUGUGGCUUUUUGUAUGCACCAUACGAAUAAGGAUCGGCUAACUCCGUGCCAGCAGCGGC
rnacentral:rRNA from 1 species